AUGGGAAAUGACAAGAACAGCGCUUUUGGCAAAAACAUCUUUAAGCAUGGCAGAAAGUAUUUUGGGUUUAUAAAUCAUAUUGCAUUUUUUGUCAGCUCCCUUAGCGUGCCUUCAGAAAAAGGAUCUGCAUGAGGAGCAACAACAUGAAAAACAAGCCCUCGUUAUUCUGAGCGCACCAUCGCCAAAUGUUAAAGUCAUUUGAUAAUUUAUCUGGAGGAAACAAAAAAAAUAAAAAAAAAGCAAAAAGCACACCAGACAAAACUUCCUCAGCCCAUUAAGGAGAGACUCAGUAACUGGAAAGUGGCAGUAAUUAACAUUUCUGCUGUUCUUCUUUGUGCGUGCCAACGUAAUUUAUGCGCUCGGAAACUUCUCACAUAGAUCCUGCAGGAAGUUGCAGCCUAAGAAAAGAUGUCAGUGCUGAGCUAAAAAGACACCUGUCAAAGCUGAAGCUCCAUUUCUGCUCAGAUGCAACAAAGAUCUCGAUGAUCUAAGAAAGUAUGAAUAGUUGUUGAAGUGGAAGCAAGAAUGAGAAGUGGGCCCAGAAAGACCAGAAAAAGGCAAUGCUUUCUGGCAGCGGUGAGAAAAGGACGUAGGAAAUUCUGAUGUGAUUUAAGAAGAAGGGAUCAAACUUUAAAGAGAUCAAACUUUAAAGGAAACAAGGAAAGCGACUAUAAAUAGUAUUAAUAGUACCGAAUAAAGAGAAAGAGUUAGGCAGCUUUAAAGGCCAUAAUUUUUAUAUAUUUCAUUGCACUCUGUCCCAGAGUUCCCCAGUUGGUAAGGCUGAGAAAGAAAAGGAAAAUAUUCCAGGUUUUUGCAUUAAUUUAAGACAUCAAAAGUAUGUUUUGGCUCAAGCAAAUGUACAUACUCUGGUCUAAAGAAUUGCUCCAUAAAACCAUUUUUUUUUCUGUUCUCUAAGUCCUUGAGAUGUUAUUCAAAUGUGCAGUAUGUCACUUAGGAAUGGAAAUGGGUGAUGUACAGCUAAAGUUGGUCAGAGCUAACCCAGUGAAACAGCUGUGGCUGGGAAACAAAAAGUGGGGCACAAACCUGCAGGUCUACAGUUGCUGUCUUCCAGUGAGAGACCCAAAGGAUGCUGAAAUGCUCACCAGGACAGGAGGGGUUGAACGGCUCACAUUUGGGCAGAUUUUACUCUGGAGUGACCUUCAGGAUGGAAACAGGUCAGCUGCACGUGAAACAUCUGACAGUGGUCUUAUUUCCUCUACAAACAGUCCUGGUCCUCCUUUCGCUGGGAAGGCAAUAUUUGUGAUGGAGAAAUCCCAGCCGCUCCACAGAUCAGCUCUUGGCAUUUGUGAGAAGGGCAGCAAAGCAAAGCUGCGACGCAAGACCUGAAACACCAUUAGGGAAUAAGUGGCGACAUCUGGAACAGCAGCAGGACGCGAGGAACACCUUUUCUUCAAAAUUCAGAGCGUUUACCAUCUGUUCUAUAUGCUCUUCUAACUCACCACUAUUCUACUUGUCUGUGCCGCUUAAAUAAACAUGUAUAUUGCAGCCUCUUUUGAGGAACUGUCCUUUUCUGCAGAAGCCUUUUGAUACGGUCUUCUCCAUAAUGACCUACUAAACAGAAUAAAAGCCAAGCUUUUCACUGUGAGCACACUGCUGCUGUCAGAUUUCUUGGUAAGAAAAUAAAACCCAACUACCAUGCUGCCUUGCUCAAGAAGGGGAAGGGCAGUGAGAGGCAGAAGCUUGGGGCCUCCCCAAGUGCCAAGCACCACUUCAUGCCUCUGACUCCAAAGAUGAAGGGAUGGAGCUUCACUGCUUGCUCUGUGCAGCAAUACUUGGUGACAAUCAUUGCCUAUAAAGGUUCUCAGGUAGGACAGAUUUGGUGCUGCUGUCACGCAGCUGGUGCCCACACUGACAUGCCUUUUGUCAGGGCAUAAGCCACCAACAAGCACGAUUUCCCCUUGCGUUCUCUCCUUCUUAUCAAGGACUUCAUCUGAAAAUAUCACAAGCCAGAAGGCAGAAGAUAUUUCAGUUUUCUUGUUCAAAACUUAUUGCAGAUGGCUGUCUCAGCCCAUGAUACAACUCUUUGGAAAGUUGCAUCAGCCUCCUUUAUUCUUCUAUUGCUUGCAGAUAGUACCCAGCCUAUCAACCCCUCUCCUUUUUACAUCAGGGUCUUCAAAUUUGUUUUGCAUGUGUUCCUCCCACUACAGCUGCUAACUUUAGAAGUAAUCAACUGCUAAUUGUUAAUCAAGAGCAAACACAAAAUCCAGUAAUUGGAGAGGAGAUACAACCUUGCUCUCCAGAAAAUAGGAAAGGCCAUAAAUGAUGAGGAUCAGGAUUACUCUCUGAGAACAAGAUAUGGGAUAUUCUCCAGAUACUCCCCACAGAAAAAGUAUGGAAGACACAGUGCAUUAAUAGGACCAUCGCUCAAUUCAGCGUGAUGCUGUGUUGACUCUCAGAAGCAACCAGGUAGUCCACAGAAAAUCCCUAUGACUCUUUUCCUUCCAAAGAGUCUGCCUGCUGACAGCCAGUUCUUUCAUUUGAGUAGUUCUAGUUCAUGCUUUUAAGCCCAAUUCCCAUCACACAAGUACACUGAAAAAAUUCUCUGAUAGACUUCAAUAUUGCACUUUCAGUAAAGACUGAGAACUAACCAUGAAGAGUGAAGACACAUGGGGUGUAACUUUCAAAGGGGCUUAAAGCCUCUUUGUCAGAGCAGAAAGCAAAGGGCAGCUUAAGGACUCAACUACACGACAGGAAGGAGCACACCUGAGCUAACACUUCAUGGUAGCACCAUGGGCAUUACUCACCUGGUCCUGAACACUGGACAAUAACAUGAGUGUGACAGGACAGCUGAGAUGCCAUCUCAGCAGGGUUUAUGGAAGAAGGGCAGUGCCAGGGGAUGAGAUAAUACUUCUAUCAGCACAGUGAUCCAGCACUGGGCUCCAGAGCCCAGCCUGGACCUGCCCUUCUCCAUCACUUCAAGAGAACUGAGGUUCUCCACACUUUUACAAAUUACAAACAGGCAACAAAGAAAGAGAAGCUCAC
rnacentral:lncRNA from 1 species